AACGAACGCUGGCGGCAUGCCUAACACAUGCAAGUCGAACGAGACCUUCGGGUCUAGUGGCGCACGGGUGCGUAACGCGUGGGAACCUGCCCUUAGGUUCGGAAUAACUCCCCGAAAGGGGUGCUAAUACCGGAUAAUGUCUUCGGACCAAAGAUUUAUCGCCUUUGGAUGGGCCCGCGUUGGAUUAGCUAGUUGGUAGGGUAAAAGCCUACCAAGGCGACGAUCCAUAGCUGGUCUGAGAGGAUGAUCAGCCACACUGGGACUGAGACACGGCCCAGACUCAUACGGGAGGCAGCAGUGGGGAAUAUUGGACAAUGGGCGAAAGCCUGAUCCAGCAAUGCCGCGUGAGUGAUGAAGGACUUAGGGUUGUAAAGCUCUUUUACCCGGGAUGAUAAUGACAGUACCGGGAGAAUAAGCUCCGGCUAACUCCGUG
rnacentral:rRNA from 1 species